rnacentral:rRNA from 1 species
GGUUUGAUUGAACGGGACCCUACUCGGAAGCCUUUUCACAUCAACGACUAUAACCAUGGUGUGCAGUCUAGAAAGUGUUCCUCUCUAGGCGACGUCGCCCCUGUGCUGGAACGCCUAGAUAUCACGAAAGCGGAUCAGCAGCCAGUUUUCUGGUCCACAGAUUAGGUGGUGACGGUCUCGAUUUGAGAUCAAGAUAUAAUCGAUCGCCGUAGCUAGCGGCUAUGGCGGAACAAUGUUCCGUAGGUGAACCUGCGGAAGGAUCAUUA